UGACCUUAAUGCUCUGAGCCAGAAUCAUCUGGUGGCACAGGCUGACAUAGGAAUAUGUUUUUCAGCUGAAAUGAGCAAGCGGCUGCAGCUGUCACCACAGCAUCAGUGUGGCUGAAACCCUUGGGAGCCUUCAGCUGACGGCAGAGAGGAGGGUCCUGAUGGAACUGGAGAAAGAAGAUUACAUUUCAAGGAAAGGAAGAGAGAGUGGAUAAAAGAAGAGUUCUGAGAAGCUGAAGCAAGUAAUACUCUUCUCACAUGGUCAAUAGACCUAGUUUCUUCCCAGUAACACAGGGGUACUCAAGACAGAAGUCAACCAACCUCAGCUCCAACAGGUUAUUUAAAAGAAUGGAUUUGGAAAAUACACGGUCACUCUUUCAUCUGGUCUUCUUCAUCUUUCCCUGGUGUGUCUAGAGGUGUGAGGUGAGAAAAUAAAAUAUUUUGUGGGUGACAGACUUGUAGUUCUGUGCUUCAUUGUAAUCCAGCCUACGUUUUCUAUCCAACACAGGGUCAAAAAAACAAGCUUAGGGAAAAGAAGGAAUGAGCUGUGUUUGUUUUAGGUAUUUAAUAGUUCUUUGUUGGUUUGCAUGCUGAAGGAUGUCUGACUAC